ensembl:snoRNA
GGCUUCCUGGUACUUACCACGGUCUGUGUUCUUACACUGACUAGAAACAGGAGGCAGAGUAAAUCAACCCCACAUAUACCUCAGUCCAGGCCCUGUGCUGGGUCUGUAUUGUUAAUCAGGAGACAUGG